AGGCACUGUGUUGACAUAUCCAGUAUAGGAGUGCCCUGGGAGCCCAUCUCUCAUUUCUGAAAGAGAUAGCAUUGUAGAUCUGGACGUUUCAUCACAUAUUCCCAGGAAGGCCCAGCCAAAUGCAGCUGGCACUGUGCCAGACAUUGGGCUAGGUGCUGGGAAUUGAAAUAAUAAACUAUUUCCUGAUUUCUCUUCUCUCUUCUGGAGAAAGAAUUGGAUUAGAACAAGGGGACUUAGAUAUGAUCUGCACCUAGAUGGUAAGAAGAUUUUCCAUAUUUUGAAGUAGAAACUUUCUGUAUGCCUGAAUCUUGCUGUCAAGAAUGUCUUGGCUAAUCAUGAAGGAAGAAUAUAAGAAUUUACAGUGGGUCAGCUUGUUCUGUGCUAACAUGGAAGUGACAAGAAGCUGGUGUCCCUCUACACAGAGGUCCCCACACUAAAUAUCAUCUUGGAUGUGCUUCACAUUGUUGCACAAAGGUACAGUGGAGUGAGACUGAGUAAGAGGACAGAAAUAGUGGGGGGUUUGUCUCAGCUCACUAAUUACUUAUUUAACCUUGGGCAAGAUACUUAAAGCUCUAUCUCAGUUUCUUCAUCUGCAAAAUGGGUAUAAUAAUGACUGGGGUGCCUAUUUCCCACGAUUGUUUUGAGGAUCAAAUGAGAUAAUAUAAUUAAAAGUGUUUUUGGAAGGUCUAAAUCACUGCGCAACUGCAAGGCAUUAUUAAAAGAAAUCUUCCUUUUAAUUCCUGCUUCCACAAACAUCUCAUCACAUAUCCUUGGGUUCCUGGGUUACAUGGAGAGAUUCGUGGUGUAGCUCAAUCUAUGUGUCAUAGCUAUCCCACAAUCUCUUCUUCAACUUCUCCAACACACCAAGACAUUCUUCCAGUCUUGCAUUGUUCCCCAGUUUAUAUAGAUAUAUAUGUUCCUCAUUCAGCAUUUAUGUAAAACAUAUAUUAUUGAGCACUUAUGUGAUAGAAACCGAGGCAAAACAGAAAAUAAAACAGAGUUUUAUUUUGAGAGUUUUUUUUACAGCUUAUCGGCUCUGAGAGGACAGACAUGAGAACAAAUAAGUGCCCAAUUCUGCAUUUAUUUUGGAAGGCAGUUUUAUGUGAGUUUAAAUCAGUAAAGACAUAGAUGUAUAUUUUUAGUUUUGAUUAAAACUAAAACAAUUGGUAGCCCUUAUUCAUAUUUUUCUAUCAUUAAAACUUAUCUUUAAAAAAUGUCUUCAGUCAUAUUUUUCCCUUACUUCCAUUCAUAUUUACUCUUUACUUCUCUUGUCCUUACCAGAAUGUAUGCAGUAAGUUUUCAUAUUGU
rnacentral:lncRNA from 1 species